rnacentral:misc_RNA from 1 species
CUGAAUUGUCAACAAGAGUUGUUGCUGGUCCUCAAAUGGGGGCAUGUGCACGCUCUGUUCACACAUCCACUCACACCCUGUGCACUCUCUGUAGUUCGAUGGCUUGGGGGGCCUGUCCCUCCUGCUGUGGUUCUGCGUCUUUACACACACACUGUAACAAAGUCCCAUGGAAUGUAUGCCGCGUUUAACGCAAUACAAUA